rnacentral:lncRNA from 1 species
CCUUUCUUUUGUCUUUUUUUUGGCACAAAGAUGCCACUGAUGAUGUGGUGCCCAGAGGGACCGCAUUCCAAGCCUGGGCCUGCACAGGGAAAACCCUGAUGCAGACUCCCAGCCACUCAUUUGGACCUAGAUGGGGCCCUGUGCCGUGCCCGCCCGUGGCCAAGGGUGCGUGUAGCACACGCCCCACACAGCAGGAACCUUACAGACCGCCAAGCUCCAGGGGCCUCCCUCUGCCGAACCAGCCAGACGGAGCUACUUAUUAUUCUUUAAAAACACCCUCUGUUGUCUCAACUCGCAAGCUUCGCUCAAGGUGUUCACUUGGUGCAUCGUUCCCCCCCUUCAGCUACUGAAACUCAACCACCCUUGAUAAGGAACAGAGUAAAGAAGUACAGAAUAUAGAGCUUCCUGCGUUCCAAGCACUUUAAAUGUUAUCAUAUAGUCCUCAUAAUAAUCCUGUAAGGAGAGAAUAAACGUUUUGCUUCGGCACAAGACAAAUUACACGUGGAGUAAACCAAGGACUCAACUCUGUUUUCAUGACUGGUUUUUUGAACAAUAAUCCAUAGAGGCGGGAGAGGAAGGGAUUCAUGCAGCAAAUGAAACAAAGUCCCUGAUGUCUAUUUCUAUUCUGAUAGCACCUCCUGGAAUAUCGGCAACAUUUUAAGUUCCAGCCUAAGCCAUGAAUUCCUUCAGAACAAAUCAAAUGUCUUUAAAGAAUAUUUCUGUUUGAAAAGGAAUUAAGCCCUCCUGAAAGAAUUUUAAAGGCACCUUCUUUCCCUGAAAACAGCAAUAAAAUUUCAUUCGACCUUCUAAAUUUCAUUCUCAAGCCCCAGCAAGGAGCGGGCAGGUAGCUUCGUGAGCGGAUCCAUGGGACACAGGACGUCUUCCUUCGUUUCAGACUCGGCUUCCCCGCGGCCAGAGCCCAGCAGUCAAGCCAGUCAUUUCCAGGCGAAGCAGGACCUACCCUGGGGGCUCACACCCUACAAAUCCCUGAAUCCUCCAUCAUCCCUCCUCCCAGCCUCCUAGUGGGCCGCUCCAAUUUAGGAGGAUUGUAUUGUCUGGAAAUCAACCUGAUCUUAUCUGUAGCCUUUUGUCAAGAGGAAAUUUUUGUUGCCUGUUUUGCUCAGAGGUUGAAACUUGUAGUAUAUUAACUAAUUGCUUGCAUCACUAACACAUGUUCUCUUGUUGGUGUCAUUCAUUUAUACUGUAACAUUUUUGACAUUUUUAGAUUGUCUCUUGGGACUCCUGGGCCUCUUAGCAGUUCCCUCUAUGAAGAGUGUUUGCCUAAUGAUUACUGACUGACAUCUCAAUAACGAGCAGUAGGAGUUGGGUGCAUCUAUUGAAGAGUUCGGGGGGGGGGGGUGUAUGUGUGUGUGUGUUUUAAUUCAUGGUCCACUUUGUCAAGUCAUGUGUGAGCCAUAAUUUAAGCUAAUAAUUACCAGACAUGAAUUCAAU